GAUGAAGAACGUAGCGAAAUGCGAUAAGUAAUGUGAAUUGCAGAAUUCAGUGAAUCAUCGAAUCUUUGAACGCACCUUGCGCCUUUUGGUAUUCCGAAAGGCACACCUGUUUGAGCGUCAUGAAUACCUCAAUCUCCAUCUUUUCCUCGGAUUGAUGGGUGACUUGGAUGUUGAGCCCUGCUGGUAUGCUAUAUCAGCUGGCUUUAAACUUAUUAGCCGGCUCUGUACUGGAUCGGUUUGACUCGACGUGAUAAUAUUAUCGUUGAGGAUGCAUGUCUCAUGCAGUCGGAAAGUAUCAAAGCAGCUUCUAGCUUGCCUUUAGUGCACUUUUACAUUUUAGACCUCAGAUCAGGUGGGACUACCCGCUGAACUUAAGCAUAUCAAUAAGCGGAGGA
rnacentral:misc_RNA from 1 species